rnacentral:rRNA from 1 species
AUUGAACGCUGGCGGCAGGCCUAACACAUGCAAGUCGAGCGAGCGGCGGACGGGUGAGUAAUGUCUGGGAAACUGCCUGAUGGAGGGGGAUAACUACUGGAAACGGUAGCUAAUACCGCAUACCAUCGGAUGUGCCCCGAUGGGAUUAGCUAGUAGGUGGGGUAAAGGCUCACCUAGGCGACGAUCCCUAGCUGGGCUGAGGGGAUGACAAGACACACUGGAACUGAGACACGGUCCAGACGCCUACGGGAGGCAGCAGUGGGGAAUAUUGCACAAUGGGCUCAAGCCUGAUGCAGCCAUGCAGCGUGUAUGAAGAAGGCCUUCGGGUUGUAAAGUACUUUCAGCGGGGAGGCGUUACCCGCAGAAGAAGCACCGGCUAACGCCGUGCCAGCAGCCGCGGUAAUUC